GCUCAGGACGAACGCUGGCGGCGUGCUUAACACAUGCAAGUCGUACGGUAAGGCCCUUUCGGGUACACGAGUGGCGAACGGGUGAGUAAACCUGCCCACAACUUUGGGAUAACGCUAGGAAACUGGUGCUAAUACUCUCCUGCUGCAUGGGGUUGGAAAGCUCCGGCGGUUGGAUGGACUCGCGGCCUAUCAGCUUGUUGGUGGGGUAGUAGGCGGCGACGGGUCGGCCUGAGAGGGAUUGGGACUGAGAUACGGCCCAGACUCCUACGGGAGGCAGCAGUGGGGAAUAUUGCACAAUGGGCGCAAGCCUACGCCGCGUGCGGGAUGACGGCGUUCGGGUUGUAAACAGCAGGGACGAAGCUUUUUGUGACGGUAAGAAGCACCGGGU
rnacentral:rRNA from 1 species